ACCCAUUCCCGACGCGGGGAGGUAGUGACGAAAAAUAACAAUGCAGGACUCGUUCGAGGCCCUGUAAUUGGAAUGAGUACACUUUAAAAGCUUUAACGAGUAUCCAUUGGAGGGCAAGUCUGGUGCCAGCAGCCGCGGUAAUUCCAGCUCCAAAAGUAUAUAUUUAAGUUGGGGCGGUUAAAAAGCUCGUAGUUGGAUUUUGGGCGCAGGCGGCCGGUCCGUCGCAAGGCGUGUACUGGACGUCCUGGCCUUCCCUCCGGUUCUCCGCCGGUGCUCUUGACUGAGUGUCGGCGGCGGCCGGAACGUUUACUUUGAAAAAAUUAGAGUGUUCAAAGCAGGCUCUCGAGCCUGGAUAAUGGUGCAUGGAAUAAUGGAAUAGGACCUCGGUUCUAUUUUGUUGGUUUUCGGAGCGCGAGGUAAUGAUUAAGAGGGACAGACGGGGGCAUUCGUACUGUGCCGUUAGAGGUGAAAUUCUUGGAUCGGCGCAAGACGAACGACUGCGAAAGCAUUUGCCAAGAAUGUUUUCUUUAAUCAAGAGCGAAAGUCAGAGGUUCGAAGACGAUCAGAUACCGUCCUAGUUCUGACUAUAAACGAUGCCAACUAGCGAUCGGGGGGCGUUACAUUGACGACCCCUCCGGCAGCUUACGGGAAACCAAAGUCUUUGGGUUCCGGGGGAAGUAUGGUUGCAAAGCUGAAACUUAAAGGAAUUGACGGAAGGGCACCACCAGGAGUGGAGCCUGCGGCUUAAUUUGACUCAACACGGGAAAUCUCACCCGGCCCG
rnacentral:ncRNA from 1 species